rnacentral:tRNA from 1 species
GUGUAGCUCAGUGGUAAAGCAUGUACUUAGCAUGCACAAAGCCUUGGGUUCAAUCCCCCAACAC